GACGAACGCUGGCGGCGUGCCUAAUACAUGCAAGUUGAGCGCUGAAGGUUGGUACUUGUCCCGACUGGAUGAGCAGCGAAUGGGUGAGUAACGCGUGGGGAAUCUGCCUUUGAGCGGGGGACAACAUUUGGAAACGAAUGCUAAUACCGCAUAAAAACUUUAAACACAAGUUUUAAGUUUGAAAGAUGCAAUUGCAUCACUCAAAGAUGAUCCCGCGUUGUAUUAGCUAGUUGGUGAGGUAAAGGCUCACCAAGGCGAUGAUACAUAGCCGACCUGAGAGGGUGAUCGGCCACAUUGGGACUGAGACACGGCCCAAACUCCUACGGGAGGCAGCAGUAGGGAAUCUUCGGCAAUGGACGAAAGUCUGACCGAGCAACGCCGCGUGAGUGAAGAAGGUUUUCGGAUCGUAAAACUCUGUUGGUAGAGAAGAACGUUGGUGAGAGUGGAAAGCUCAUCAAGUGACGGUAACUACCCAGAAAGGGACGGCUAACUACGUG
rnacentral:rRNA from 1 species